rnacentral:rRNA from 1 species
UACGAAGGGGGCUAGCGUUGCUCGGAAUCACUGGGCGUAAAGGGUGCGUAGGCGGCGCGGUAAGUCGGGUGUGAAAUUUCGAGGCUUAACUUCGAAACUGCAUUCGAUACUGCCGUGCUUGAGGACUGGAGAGGAGACUGGAAUUUACGGUGUAGCGGUGAAAUGCGUAGAUAUCGUAAGGAAGACCAGUGGCGAAGGCGGGUCUCUGGACAGUUCCUGACGCUGAGGCACGAAGGCCAGGGGAGCAAACGGG